rnacentral:lncRNA from 1 species
AGUUUUAUAGUAUAUUUUAAAUAAAAGAUAAAGAAAAUGCCUAACUUUUCAAAUAGUUUGUAAAUUAACCUAAAACAUGCACUUUUAAAAGAAUAGUAUAAUGGCCUUUCUGUACAAGUUAACCUAGAAUCUGUGAAAUAAAUAGACACAGAUUCUGUGUCCACUCACAAAAGUGAAGAAAUAAGACAAUUUUCUGGAACAUUCCAUGAAACAUUCUUCUCUGAUUUAAUCUGGCCUGCCUCAUCAGAGCAAUACAAAAAUUACUUAAAAAUACUGUUUUAACAGGACAAAAGUCAGUUUUCUAUGAGGAAUGAUAUAUAAUUCUCAACUUUUCCAAGGGUACGUAUUGUAAGAGAAAAGGUAUGCAAUGGUUUUUCAAAAUGGUAGAAUGAAAGUCACAAUAUAAAAAAAUAAGUACAUUAUAGAGAUAGUAAAGUGGAAAUAAUUCAUUGUAAUGAAAAUAAAAAAUCAAGCUUCUGCCAUAAUUCGUAUCCUAAAACAUGUUAUGUAAUUCAACUAGCUACAGAAUAACAGUUGACAUGCUAAGUUCCAUACAUACUUGACUUUCCACUUGAAAUAAUUUCUUCUUUGGGACCUGUGUCUCAUCCAAAUUAAUGUGAUAAUGUGAUAUACCUUCCAGUGGAGACUCUAACAUAGUUAAUUUUUUUAGGCUGUCAGCCGCUUCUUGUUGAAGUUGUCUCACAACCACCUGAGAAAAUAUUUUUGUUACUGAUUUUAUAAAUUGCCUUAUUAAAUUAUGUUAAUAAUAUUUAACUCCCUGCCAAAUUGGUAUUCUCUUACUUACAUAACAGAUUCAUCCCACCAUUCAAUCAUCUUAGAAGCUCAACUCAACCUCAAAGUUCCUCACAUAUUCAAUCACCUGUUCAAAUCCUUCCAACAGAUUCCUAUCUCAGAAUAAAAGUAAAAUUCCAAUGGCCUUUGAGGUCCUAGGUAAACAGGUCUCUACCUCCCUCUCUGACUUCAAAGCUCCUACAACUCCCUCCUGUAAUUACUCCAUUCCCACUGUACGUGAAGCCUGCCACCCCUCUGUCUGAAAAUAGGGAUCUAAUGCCUUACUCAUAAAUCACAGGCAGCUACAAGUAUCUUUGUACUGAACAAAAUUAUAUUCCAAUGAUAGUCAUUAAGCCUUGAAAUAAAAAUUAGGAGCUAAUUAUUAAUAUAAAUAUUCAAAGUAAACUAUAAAUACCAGUGGGAAGACUAAACCAAAUAUAGUUUUGCUAAAUAUUACCACAUGUAUCCUAAAUUAUGAUUUUAUAACAAGUAGGUGCCUUUAAAACAUUACAUAGUCAUAAAAAUAUGUAAUUUGACAUAUUUUCAGAUUUGUUAAAUUAAUAUGAUUAAUAACAAAGAUAUACCAACUAAAAUACAUAAAAAGCUACUUAAAGCAAGGUAUUACAAGACACAGCAAUACACUUCAGUUCAUCUGGGAAAUCUAGAAUUAAGUGUCAAAGAUAAUCAAUUAAAUUUUAAUUUGAAAAUACUCAUUUCAGGUGUAAACAUUUCCAUUUAUACUUACAUUAUGGUCUUAACAUGUGGCAACAUAAAGUCAUUAAAAUUAUUAUUUCAGCAGUACAGAACUAUCUACCUUAAAAUAUGACUCUGUGCCUAAUAAAAUUUCAUAGGUGACACAAUGUCUUUUCUCAAAGUAAAUCAUCUCUCACCUCUACCUUUUAUUUCCUAGAAAUGGGGCACGUUUCUAAGCUGGUAUAGUAAACACGGUUUUCCUUUUUUUUUAUUAAAACAGCUUUGUUGAAAUAUAAUUUACAUACUAUAGAAUGUAUCUGUUUUAACUUAAAGUUAAAAGAAUUUUUAGUCCAUUUACUGAGUUGUGCAGCCAUCUCUACAAUCAAACUUUACAGCAUUUCCAUCACUGCAAGAUCCCUGACGCCCAUUAGCAGUCACUACCAGCUUUCAGCCCCAGCCCUUUGCAAACAUUAGUCUACUUUUUGUCCCUAUACGUUUAUCUUUUCUGGAUGCUUCAUGUAAAUGGAAUUAUACAGUAUGGUAAACACACUUUUUAUCCAUUGAUUUUUAUAUUCAACUAAGUUCAACAUGUAUCCAGAACCAAAUGUUUAAAUUUUCUUUCUAAAAGUUUGAAAAUAUUUAUCUUCCUUGAUACUUACUACUCUUUCUGCUUUCUCUCUCACAUAUCGAAAGAGACUUUCUUUUUAAUGAUCACAUUCGUUCAUUAGCUUCUUAUUUUUCUCUUCUAGCAUGUGGUCUUUCUUUCCACUCUCAAUAAAGCCUCUUUGGAUAUUAGUUACUAUCUCUUUAUGAUCCUCUUUCUGAUGAACAUCAUCUAGUUGCUGUUCAAUGCACGGAUUUUCAUGUUGGAGUUGACAUAUCCUCUCUUCUACACAGCUCCACUUUCCAGUGGAAUUAUUCACUUUAGCUUCUGCAUUUUCAUACAUCUCUUUCAUUUCCUUUAUUUGCUGCUGUGUUUGGCUUAGGUCGUUUGGAGAGUUUCUAAAGCCAAUGACUUUUUUCUGAGAGUAUCUCUGUUCUUACGGAACUUAUCUUUUAAGGUAUUGAAUUUAAUUUGCUUUUUAGAAAGUUGUUCAGUAAGAAACUCAUUCUUCUACUUCGGAAAUAUCAGAACUCAUUUUUACUUGUACGGAAACAUCUUGUGUUCACUCUAAUGCAAGUUUUAGGUUUCUUUCUGUUUUCACACUUUCACUGUGCUUACUUAUAGCAGCAGUCAGUCUAGACUGAUGAUUCAAUUUCAGCUUCCAGUCUUUUGUUGCUUUCUUCUUCCUUCAACAGAUCGGAAUUGAGCCUUGUAUUCUCAGCUUUGAGAUCAUUAAGCUCUUGUUGAUACCGGAAUGCUGUUCUUGUUAUCAAUUCCUCAUUGAGUUUUAUAUACUUUUCAAG